rnacentral:rRNA from 1 species
AGAGUUUGAUCCUGGCUCAGGAUGAACGCUGGCGGUAUGCUUAACACGUGCAAGUCGGACGGGAAGUGGUGUUUCCAGUGGCAGACGGGUGAGUAACGCGUAAGAACCUGCCCUUGGGAGGGGAACAAUAGCUGGAAAUGACUGCUAAUACCCCAUAGGCUGAGGAGAAAAAGGGGGAAUCUGCCCAAGGAGGGGCUCGCGUCUGAUUAGUUAGUUGGUGAGGCAAUGGCUUACCAAGGCGACGAUCAGUAGCUGGUCUGAGAGGAUGAUCAACCACGCUGGGACUGAGACAUGGCCCAGACUCCUACGGGAGGAAGCAGUGGGGAAUUUUCUGCAAUGGGCGACAGCCUGAUGGAGCAAUGCCGCGUGAAGGCAAAAGGCCCACGAGUCAUGAACUUCUUUUCUCGGAGAAGAAAAAUGACGGUCUCUGAGGAAUAAGCAUCAGCUAAAUCUGUGCCAGCAGCCGCGGUAAU